rnacentral:rRNA from 1 species
AUGAAGACGAGGAGGAGAAAGAAGAAACCUCUCCCCCUUCAGCGGGGGGAGGAAAGGAAAGGAAGGUUGUCCCGACCGGGGAGGCCGAAGGGUCCAAGAAGGGGAAGACCCUUCCUCCGGACUACUCCACCGACGCCAACGACGGCGAAGAGGAGUGGCCGCACAGGGGCCAAGCGCCCGGCGAAACCUCCGCCCAAGGCCGGGCUCGACGAGUCGUCGAGCGGCUCCCUGGAUUCGUCAGAUGUGAAUUCACUUCCGACGGCUACCUCCCCCCGCCCUACGGACGACGCCGAAGUGUUGUCCCAACAGGUUCCAAGUCAGGAGGAGGUGGUCCUGGAGGCGCCGCAAGACGACUUUCCAGACUCCAGGAGUAAAGGGGAUAGAUCCCCCAUAGGCUCCGAGUCUGGCUUCGAGCCGGACUCCGUGCCGGAACCUUCAACGGUUCCGGACUCCAGUAGGCAGCCUCCUUCCAAGAGGAGCAAGCCUACCGAGCCGGUGGCCUCCGUCCAACCGGAGGUACCGGAUAAUUUGCUGGAGGUGCUUAACAGCGCCUACAUUGACGAGGAGCAACGCACUAUUAUGAGUGCGGUGAUCCAGAAGAUUCAGUCCGCCAAGAGCGGACUGACUGAAGCCUGUGCCAGCCUUCUAACAGGCUUUGAGGCUUCGCUGCUAACGUCUGCCGCAUGA